rnacentral:rRNA from 1 species
GCAAAGCACUUUGAAGAGAGAGUUAAAGAGGACGUGAAACCGGUAAGGUGGAAACGGAUAGAGUCGGCGUAUCAUUCAAUUAUUCAGUUACAUUAUUUUUAUGUUGUGACCUCUGAGCUCCAGAUUGGGACAGAGGGAAUCAGCAUAAUUUUUUGUGGUGCAUUUACUUGAUUGGUGCUUGGGGAUGUUUGAGGCAGAUUUGUUUCCGUCGUUUUGAGGCCAGCUUGCUGGUACCCAAACGGUGUUAGCAUUUUUUGUCUUGGGCAUUUGAGUAUGGCUCACGUGUAUUUAUUGGACAGAUCUGAGUGUAAGUUACGGUCGCAUGCGACACGUGCUUUUCAAUUAGUUCGGUCCAGUUAAUGCUCUCGUACUCGUUCCCCAUGUAAAAGCCGGUCAUCUAUCCGACCCGUCUUGAAACACGGACCAAGGAGUUUAUCGUGUGCGCAAGUUUUUGGGUGUUAAAAACUUAAAAGCGAAAUGAAAGUAAAUGACUCUUUAGAGUCUGAUGUGCGAUCUUGUAAAAAAGUGUAGCAUGGCCCCAUUCUAACUGUUUACAGUAGGGUGGCGGAAGAGCGUACGCGGUGAGACCCGAAAGAUGGUGAACUAUUCCUGAGCAGGACGAAGCCAGAGGAAACUCUGGUGGAAGUCCGAAGCGGUUCUGACGUGCAAAUCGAUCGUCUGACUUGGGUAUAGGGGCGAAAGACUAAUCGAACCAU